UACGAAGGGGGCUAGCGUUGUUCGGAAUCACUGGGCGUAAAGCGCACGUAGGCGGAUCUUUAAGUCAGGGGUGAAAUCCCGAGGCUCAACCCCGGAACUGCCUUUGAUACUGGGGAUCUCGAGUCCGGGAGAGGUGAGUGGAACUGCGAGUGUAGAGGUGAAAUUCGUAGAUAUUCGCAAGAACACCAGUGGCGAAGGCGGCUCACUGGCCCGGAACUGACGCUGAGGUGCGAAAGCGUGGGGAGCAAACAGG
rnacentral:rRNA from 1 species